rnacentral:tRNA from 1 species
UUCCCCGCUGCGCGGCAGGCAUGCGCGAGGGUCGGCUGUCGGCCGAUCAGGUCGGGGUGAUCGCCGCACACGCGGGCCAG